UUUGGACUGAAAAAUAAAAGCAAAAGUAUUACACAAAUGACAGAUGAGUGGGCAUUUUAAAACUCAAAGAUGUCAUGACAUUCUUUAAAAAUAGUAUACUUACUCUGCACCUCAAGGGGAAGAGAUCUUAGCAAAUCAGCUCCACGAAAACAAGCAUAGCCAUUUCUGCUCUCCUCGUACCGAGAUCUAUUCUGUGGAAGCUUAAGCAACAGUGGGAUACAUACGACACAACUGAGUGACUACAGCACUUAACUGAUGUGCUGAGAGUACACAAGAGAAGAGCAGAACGUCAGACAGUCACAGAAAAAGCACCGACUCACUGGCCCGCUUUCCAUCACCAGCCACAAUGCCAGCUGGCUUGAGGAAGCAGGGCAGGCAUUGCUAAGAUGCUUCAAGAGCCCAGAGUCAAGAGGAGCUUGUAACACUUAAAAACCAAAGUCUGAAGUGGCAGCAGCAAGGAUCAAAUGCAAAUGUCAACCCAGUGAAAAUGACAUCAUAUUCUGAAAGUCCUUUAAGCCUUGUGGAUUCUUUAUGGAAAGUAAUAUGAACACUGGGGACCACAGAGACCACACCUGGAGAAAUACUUCGAUAGUCUACGAAAUAGCCAGAAGCCUAGAAAAUUUUUAAAAAUUCGGAACAUGGGGCCAGUGAGAUGGCUCGGUUGAUAAAAGAGCCUGCCAUGCCUGACGACAUGAGUUCAACCCCUGGUACUAAUGUUAGGAGGCCUACAACUGGAAGCAUUCCUAAUGGGAAAAAUGAUGUCAUCUGGGC